UACGUAGGUGGCAAGCGUUGUCCGGAAUUAUUGGGCGUAAAGGGUGCGUAGGCGGUCUAGAAAGUCUGAUUUGAAAGCCCAUGGCUUAACCAUGGAAUGCGAUUGGAAACUAAUAGACUUGAGUGCAGGAGAGGAAGGUGGAAUUCCACGUGUAGCGGUGAAAUGCGUAGAGAUGUGGAGGAACACCGGUGGCGAAGGCGGCCUUCUGGCCUGCAACUGACGCUGAUGCACGAAAGCGUGGGUAGCAAAC
rnacentral:rRNA from 1 species